rnacentral:rRNA from 1 species
GAUGAACGCUGGCGGCGUGCCUAAUACAUGCCAGUCGAGCGAACAGACGAGGAGCUUGCUCCUCUGACGUUAGCGGCGGACGGGUGAGUAACACGUGGAUAACCUACCUAUAAGACUGGGAUAACUUCGGGAAACCGGAGCUAAUACCGGAUAAUAUAUUGAACCGCAUGGUUCAAUAGUGAAAGACGGUUUUGCUGUCACUUAUAGAUGGAUCCGCGCCGCAUUAGCUAGUUGGUAAGGUAACGGCUUACCAAGGCAACGAUGCGUAGACGACCUGAGAGGGUGAUCGGCCACACUGGAACUGAGACACGGUCCAGACUCCUACGGGAGGCAGCAGUAGGGAAUCUUCCGCAAUGGGCGAAAGCCUGACGGAGCAACGCCGCGUGAAUGAUGAAGGUCUUCGGAUCGUAAAACUCUGUUAUUAGGGAAGAACAAAUGUGUAAGUAGCUAUGCACGUCUUGACGGUACCUAAUCAGAAAGCCACGGCUAACUACGUG